rnacentral:rRNA from 1 species
GGGGGAUAUUGCACAAUGGGGGAAACCCUGAUGCAGCGACGCCGCGUGGAGGAAGAAGGUUUUCGGAUUGUAAACUCCUGUCGUUAGGGACGAUAAUGACGGUACCUAACAAGAAAGCACCGGCUAACUACGUGCCAGCAGCCGCGGUAAAACGUAGGGUGCAAGCGUUGUCCGGAAUUACUGGGUGUAAAGGGAGCGCAGGCGGGAAGACAAGUUGGAAGUGAAAACCAUGGGCUCAACCCAUGAAUUGCUUUCAAAACUGUUUUUCUUGAGUAGUGCAGAGGUAGAUGGAAUUCCCGGUGUAGCGGUGGAAUGCGUAGAUAUCGGGAGGAACACCAGUGGCGAAGGCGGUCUACUGGGCACCAACUGACGCUGAGGCUCGAAAGCAUGGGUAGCAAACAGGAUUAGAUACCCUGGUAGUCCAUGCCGUAAACGAUGAUUACUAGGUGUUGGGGGAUUGACCCCCUCAGUGCCGCAGUUAACACAAUAAGUAAUCCACCUGGGGAGUACGACCGCAAGGUUGAAACUCAAAGGAAUUGACGGGGGCCCGCACAAGCAGUGGAGUAUGUGGUUUAAUUCGAAGCAACGCGAAGAACCUUACCAGGUCUUGACAUCCGAUGCAUAGCACAGAGAUGUGUGAAAUCCUUCGGGACAUCGAGACAGGUGGUGCAUGGUUGUCGUCAGCUCGUGUCGUGAGAUGUUGGGUUAAGUCCCGCAACGAGCGCAACCCUUAUUGCCAGUUACUACGUUAAGAGGACUCUGGCGAGAUUGCCGUUGACAAAACGGAGGAAGGUGGGG